rnacentral:rRNA from 1 species
CCUACGGGAGGCAGCAGUAGGGAAUAUUGCUCAAUGGGGGAAACCCUGAAGCAGCAACGCCGCGUGGAGGAUGAAGGCUCUCGGAUUGUAAACUUCUUUUGGUAGAGAAGAUAAUGACGGUAUCUGACGAAUAAGCACCGGCUAACUCCGGGCCAGCAGCCGCGGUAAUACGGAGGGUGCAAGCGUUACUCGGAUUUACUGGGCGUAAAGGGCGCGUAGGCGGGAUAGCAAGUCAGUUGUGAAAUCCUAUGGCUUAACCAUAGAACUGCAUUUGAUACUGUUAUUCUAGAGUAUGGGAGAGGUAGGUGGAAUUCGUGGUGUAGCGGUGAAAUGCGUAGAGAUCAAGAGGAACACUGAUUGCGAAGGC